CAGCAGCAUGCGAUGAGGAUAUGUCCAGUGACAAUGUACAAUAUAAUAUUAGAUUAGCUACAACACUGUAAUACGCUAAACGUUCACACAUAACAGUCAGUAUAAUACAAACUACAGCAAUCCUAUCUGGAUCGGUUCUAUAUGUGUCAUUUUGUUCAGAACUUUGUAUUGUUGUUGUUGUACUUUCAUGCUGUAUUCUCUCAGAGUGCAGUAGUGGAUCUGUCUCUUCCAUUGGUCUAUCUACUAAACUGUUAUCUAUUGUGCAGAUUGAAUUAAUACCAAACAAUGUUUGUCCAUUUCGUGUUUACAAGUAUUUAACUGUCUACCAGCAAAGUCGAACUAUUUUAAA
rnacentral:lncRNA from 1 species